ensembl:lncRNA
UGAUAACCCCUCUCUGGAGCCAGGCUGCUAGUCUUGAUGGCUGUUUGCUGGGUUCGAUUUCAAAGGAAAGAACAAAGAAGGGAGAGGCAGAUCCUUGAGGGAAAAUCCACACAAUACAAACAAAGCGGAUUCUUUAUCAGCUGAGCCACAAGGGAAGCCCAAGAAUACUGAAGUGGGUAGCCUAUCCCUUCUCCAGUGGAUCUUCCCGACCUGGAAAUUGAACCAGGGUCUCCUGCAUUGCAGGCAGAUUUUUCACCAACAAGCUAUCACGGAAGCCCUAUGAGGAAAGACAGGAUCAAAAGCAGGAUAAGUUCCUGGUAAGCAACAGGGCACAGUAGUUGUGGCACAUGGGCUUAGUCGCCCCGAGGCAUGUGGAAUCUUCCCUGACCAGGAAUGCAACCCAUGUCCCCUGCAUUGGUGGAUUCUUAACCACUGGACCAUCAGGGAAGUCCGAAUUGCUUUAUUAUUGUAGAAUAAUCU